UACGGAAGGGGCUAGCGUUGUUCGGAAUCACUGGGCGUAAAGCGCGCGUAGGCGGGCUAUCAAGUCUGGGGUGAAAUCCCGCGGCUCAACCGUGGAACUGCCUCAGAUACUGACGGCCUCGAGGGAGAUAGGGGCAUGCGGAACUGUAGGUGGAGCGGUGAAAUGCGUUGAUAUCUACAGGAACUCCGGUGGCGAAAGCGGCGUGCUGGAUCUCUUCUGACACUGAGGCUCGAAAGCUAGGGGAGCAAACGGG
rnacentral:rRNA from 1 species